GAUGAACGCUGGCGGCAUGCCUAAUACAUGCAAGUCGAGCGAACGGACGAGAAGCUUGCUUUUCUGAUGUUAGCGGCGGACGGGUGAGUAACACGUGGAUAACCUACCUAUAAGACUGGGAUAACUUCGGGAAACCGGAGCUAAUACCGGAUAAUAUUUUGAACCGCAUGGUUCAAAAGUGAAAGACGGUCUUGCUGUCACUUAUAGAUGGAUCCGCGCUGCAUUAGCUAGUUGGUAAGGUAACGGCUUACCAAGGCAACGAUGCAUAGCCGACCUGAGAGGGUGAUCGGCCACACUGGAACUGAGACACGGUCCAGACUCCUACGGGAGGCAGCAGUAGGGAAUCUUCCGCAAUGGGCGAAAGCCAGACGGAGCAACGCCGCGUGAGCGAUGAAGGUCUUCGGAUCGUAAAACUCUGUUAUUAGGGAAGAACAUAUGUGUAAGUAACUGUGCACAUCUUGACGGUACCUAAUCAGAAAGCCACGGCUAACUACGUG
rnacentral:rRNA from 1 species